rnacentral:rRNA from 1 species
UACGUAGGGUGCGAGCGUUGUCCGGAAUUAUUGGGCGUAAAGAGCUCGUAGGCGGUUUGUUGCGUCGGCCGUGAAAACCUGCAGCUUAACUGUGGGCCUGCGGCCGAUACGGGCAGACUUGAGUUCGGUAGGGGAGACCGGAAUUCCUGGUGUAGCGGUGAAAUGCGCAGAUAUCAGGAGGAACACCGGUGGCGAAGGCGGGUCUCUGGGCCGAUACUGACGCUGAGGAGCGAAAGCGUGGGGAGCGAACAGG